rnacentral:tRNA from 1 species
GCGGGAAGAGCUCAUUGGUAGAGUGUGUGCUUAGCAUGCAUGAGGUCCUGGGUUCAAUCCCCUAUACCUCCA